rnacentral:lncRNA from 1 species
UGAAUCAAAUCUUGACGACAAGAGAUGGAUACAAUUCGGCAUAAGUCAUCGGAAUGGGAUCAAAAGUGACCUUCUUCCUUUCAAAAUUAUUAUGAUGAUUGUUGUUGUAGUUGUGAUUGUUGUGGGUACGCUGAUGUUGUUGUUGUUGUUGAAUUGGUACUGACUGACUUGCAGAAUUGUUGGUAAAUACUGGAAUAACAGAUGAUACUUGAUGAUAUUGCUGGGAUCUGGAAUUUUUUCUCACAUGAGGCCUCAUUUGCUUCCCCACAGAUACUGAAUUG